rnacentral:scRNA from 1 species
CACCAAACACCUCAGCCUCGACGCACACCCACGCCUUACCAGACACCUCAG